GAUGAAGAACGCAGCGAAAUGCGAUAAGUAGUGUGAAUUGCAGAAUUCAGUGAAUCAUCGAAUCUUUGAACGCACAUUGCGCCCCUUGGUAUUCCGGGGGGCAUGCCUGUUCGAGCGUCAUUUCAACCCUCAAGCUCUGCUUGGUAUUGGGCUCCGUCCUCCUCGGACGCGCCUCAAAGACCUCGGCGGUGGCGUCUUGCCUCAAGCGUAGUAGAAACACCUCGCUUUGGAGUGCAUGGCGUCGCCCGCCGGACGAAACCUUUUGUAUUUUCUCAAAGGUUGACCUCGGAUCAGGUAGGGAUACCCGCUGAACUUAAGCAUAUCAAUAAGCGGAGGA
rnacentral:misc_RNA from 1 species